UCUCCCGUGAGGGAGCAGUCUCGCCUGACAUAUAAAACAGGCAACGCGGGUUACAUUCGUUACCCCACUGAAGGGAACAACUCAAGCCACGAAUUGACGACGACCAUGCAUCACCUGCCCAGCCGCCUUGCGGAGACGGUAGUUUCCUACCGCGAUCGUCUGGGUUUCAAACCCUGGUGAGGUUCUUCGUUUGUCAUCGAAUUGAGCCGCAUGAUCCACCGCUUGUGCAAGUCCCCGUCUAUUCCUUUGAGUUUUAAUCUUGCGAUCGUACUACCCAGGCGCACAACUUAACGCGUUAGCUUCGCCUCAGAGAGGGUCGAUACUCCCUAAAGCCAGUUGUGAUCGUUUAGGGCGUGGACUAC
rnacentral:misc_RNA from 1 species